AGAUAUGUUUGAUAUAUUUGGUGUUGUAACAUGCUCACCGAAUGUCUGACAUAUCAGA
rnacentral:pre_miRNA from 1 species